GAUCAUGGCUCAGAUUGAACGCUGGCGGCAUGCUUUACGCAUGCAAGUCGAACGGCAGCAUGGGGGCAACCCUGAUGGCGAGUGGCGAACGGGUGAGUAAUAUAUCGGAACGUACCCGAGAGUGGGGGACAACCAGUCGAAAGAUUGGCUAAUACCGCAUACGAUCUACGGAUGAAAGUGGGGGACCUUCGGGCCUCACGCUCCUGGAGCGGCCGAUAGCUGAUUAGCUAGUUGGG
rnacentral:rRNA from 1 species